AACGAACGCUGGCGGCAGGCCUAACACAUGCAAGUCGAGCGCUCACUUCGGUGGGAGCGGCGGACGGGUUAGUAACGCGUGGGAACAUACCCUUCUCUACGGAAUAGCCUCGGGAAACUGAGAGUAAUACCGUAUACGCCCUUCGGGGGAAAGAUUUAUCGGAGAUGGAUUGGCCCGCGUUAGAUUAGAUAGUUGGUGGGGUAAUGGCCUACCAAGUCUACGAUCUAUAGCUGGUUUUAGAGGACGAUCAGCAACACUGGGACUGAGACACGGCCCAGACUCCUACGGGAGGCAGCAGUGGGGAAUCUUAGACAAUGGGCGAAAGCCUGACCUAGCCAUGCCGCGUGAGUGAUGAAGGCCUUAGGGUCGUAAAGCUCUUUCG
rnacentral:rRNA from 1 species